CAUUUAUACACAACACAGUCUUAUUAUCUCUAAUACUGAUUUUGGAGAGUUUAAAGAAUCCCCAAAUCACCACUGAUAAAAAUCUUAACUAACGUAUCAUAUAAAUGAUACACACCCAUGUUUUCUUCUCUGUUCACAGCCUAAACCUCCUCCAAAGCCUGCCGAGAGAAAAAGAAAUGACCCAGAAAGACUAGAGAAACCAACUCCUGUGGUGCCUCAACGACCAACAGACACUGAACUGAGUCAGACACAAUACCAGAUGAAAAUAUCAGCAGCAUCAAACAAUGAGG